UUCGCAGUUCAUCAAAUAUUAAUUUGAUUUAUUUCGUUUAGGGCAUAAAAUAAAGAUAAUAAAAUAUACAUAGUGAUAAACAUGAAAUAUUUAUGAUUGUAAUUUACGAAACGCAAUGACAAAAAUUCACGAUUAAAACAAAGUCUUAAAUUAAUUCGACAAUUAUUUUAUUUUUAUAAACAAUAAAAACUAUAGAAAUGGUUACUUGCGUCUAUUAUUUUUUAUAAAAAGACAUUUUUUUUAUUCUAAUUUAUUAUUAAGAACACAAAUAGACGCAAUAGCAACUAUAUAUUAUUGUUGAAUUAUGCCAAAAAAGUUCUAUUGAUUUAAUAUUAUCGUCAUCGAUUAACGUCAUUGAUUAACGUCAUCGAUUAUAAAAAUUCUGCCGAUUUUCACACCUAUGUAAACUGUAAAAAAUAUAUAAAAAGUAAAAGUUAACUAAUUUUUUAUCAAAGUUGUCAAACAAGUAGUCACUCGUGAAAUAGUAAAUCAUGAUUUCGUUAAUAUUAAUAAAAUUGCUUCUAAUAUUUGUGUCGAGUACAAUUUCACAGCCUACACUGCUAUGGAAUUCGACACUAACUGCACGAGCUAUCGAGCCUUUAGUUCGAGAUAAUUCAGGAUCACUGACCAAUCAAAGAACUAAAUAUCAAACCUUCAAUGAUAAUACUAAUUUUGGUAUAAUAAUUAAACAAGGUACAACAUUUAGCUUAACGGUAGAGACACCUUCCAAAAUAGAAGAUUUAAAGUUUUUCUGUUUCCCUUAUCCACAACAUGAAAAAAAAUUAAUCAAAUUAAAUCUUACCGGAAAAACAAAUUGCACAAAUACAUUAACAACAAAUUAUGAUUGUGUACCUAUGGUAUCCGCAUCAAAAAAUGUUCCAUUACGGAUGAUAAUUGAAACCAAAAACUGGUUUCCAUUGUCAACUAACAAUUCUAAUGAUGUGUCACUUCCAAAAUCACAAGGAAAAGGAAUUUCACACAAAAUAGAAAAUAAUUUAAAAUAUUCAUUUCAUGCAUUAGGUUAUAAUGAUUUGGAAUUUUUAACAAUAUUGAUAAAUUACAAGAACAUGACAAUAGAAUUACAACAAUUGCAAAAAAAAAUUCAUGGGAACUUUCAACAAGAAGUAUAUUUUUGGAUCAGUUUAGAACGAAAUGGUUUAUCAAUUUUUGAGUAUAAAUUUUUAGGUUGUCCCCCAUGUGGUACAAAGCUUAUUAAUGCGGUGGAAAAAUUUGAGUUAAAUGAUGUAAUUCAUUUUUAUCAUGCCGAACCAGGUCGUUUUAAAUCAAAUCUCGAAGGAUUAAAUUAUAAAAAAACAAGUAAUACUUUUAUUUUAUCAAAUACAGGUUUGGAGACCUUAAAAUAAAAUGGAACAGAAUUAAAUAAUUUAAAAUAAUCAUUCGAUGCUUUAGUUCUUGUUGAUAAGAUGUUUUUAAAAAUAUUUUUUGUAGUGUAGCACAUAGCCAUAAUUUUGUUUUAACACAGUAGGGUUUGCGCCAUGCCACAUUAAUGAUAUGAUUCUUACAAUAAUUUUUUUUAAUGCAAUAAAAUUGUUAAAUUUAAUUUGGAAUUGAAAAUAGUUUUAAGUUACAAUGCAUUAUAUUAACAUUAAUUUGCAAAUUAUAUUCGUACAUUGCGGUUUUAAUGACUUGGAAGCGUACACUCAAAUGAAAUUGGGAUGAAAACUAGAUUAAUUAAGUCUAGUAUAAAUUACAUACAUAAACUAUGAAAUAUACUAUAAUAGAAUGUUUAUUAAACAAUAUUAAUAAUACAACUUAUGUUAAUUUAUGUAUUAUGAGAAAUAUAUAAUUUACAAUAAAUAUAUAAAAUAUACAUAACUAUUA